AAUCAACGCUGGCGGCGUGCCUCAGACAUGCAAGUCGAACGAUUAAAGCUCCCUUGGGGAGUGCAUAAAGUGGCGCACGGGUGAGUAACACGUAAGUAAUCUACCCUCGAGUGGGGAAUAACGUCCGGAAACGGACGCUAAUACCGCAUAAUGCAGCGGCACCGCAAGGUGACAGUUGUUAAAGAUUUAUUGCUUGAGGAGGAGCUUGCGGCAGAUUAGCUAGUUGGAAGGUAAUGGCUUACCAAGGCAACGAUCUGUAGCCGGUCUAAGAGGACGGUCGGUCACACUGACACUGAAUAACGGGUCAGACUCCUACGGGAGGCAGCAGUC
rnacentral:rRNA from 1 species